UACGUAGGGUGCGAGCGUUGUCCGGAAUUACUGGGCGUAAAGAGCUCGUAGGCGGCUUGUCGCGUCGACUGUGAAAACCCGCGGCUCAACCGCGGGCCUGCAGCCGAUACGGGCAGGCUAGAGUUCGGUAGGGGAGACUGGAAUCCUGGUGUAGCGGUGAAAUGCGCAGAUAUCAGGAAGAACACCCGUGGCGAAGGCGGCUCUCUGGGACGGUACUGACGCUGAGACGCGAAAGCGUGGGGAGCGAACAGG
rnacentral:rRNA from 1 species